CCUACGGGCGGCAGCAGUGAGGAAUAUUGGUCAAUGGCCGGAAGGCUGAACCAGCCAUGCCGCGUGAAGGUCAGUGCCCUAUGGGCGUUAAACUUCUUUUGUGCGGGAGCAAUAAUGGUCACGUGUGGCCAGACGAGAGUACCGUACGAAUAAGCAUCGGCUAACUCCGUGCCAGCAGCCGCGGUAAUACGGGGGAUGCAAGCGUUAUCCGGAUUUAUUGGGGUUAAAGGGUGCGUAGGCUGUGAGGUAAGUCAGCGGUGAAAUGCCCCCGCUCAACGGGGUGAAGUGCCAUUGAUACUGCCUUGCUGGAAUGCGGAUGCCGUGGGAGGAAUGUGUGGUGUAGCGGUGAAAUGCAUAGAUAUCACACAGAACACCGAUUGCGAAGGCAUCUCACGAAUCCGCGAUUGACGCUGAUGUACGAAAGCGUGGGUAUCAAACAGGAUUAGAUACCCGUGUAGUC
rnacentral:rRNA from 1 species